GGAGUGUCCAUUUUGCAGUUCCUUGACUUGGCAAAGUUACUUGCUCCUGGUCUGAAGCUUCCUUUGAAGCAGUUAUUACAUCUGGAGAAAACAGGCCCCUGUACCUGGGGUCAGGACAUAGUGAAAGGGCACUGGGCGAGGCCACACAGGCUCUGUCCUGCACAACUUCAAGGAACAUGCAAAGAGGCAGCCUGUGUAUAACAUGACGAAGGAUGGACAAAUUAACUGAUCUUCAAAUCCCUUUGAACUGAAAUUAAAUCAUUCUGACAAUGGAUACUCCAGUAUUUCUCUGUAUCUUCUUCACAUUUGCUUUUUAAAAUGUCAUUUUUUAACAUAUAUUGUUUUAAUAACUGUUCUGGAUUAAAUUUGGUUUAGAA
rnacentral:lncRNA from 1 species